GACGAACGCUGGCGGCGUGCUUAACACAUGCAAGUCGAACGGUAAGGCCCUUCGGGGUACACGAGUGGCGAACGGGUGAGUAACACGUGGGUGAUCUGCCCUGCACUUCGGGAUAAGCUUGGGAAACUGGGUCUAAUUCCGGAUAGGACCACUGCCUGCAUGGGUGGUGGUGGAAAGCUUUUGCGGUGUGGGAUGGGCCCGCGGCCUAUCAGCUUGUUGGUGAGGUAACGGCUCACCAAGGCGACGACGGGUAGCCGGCCUGAGAGGGUGACCGGCCACACUGGGACUGAGACACGGCCCAGACUCCUACGGGAGGCAGCAGUGGGGAAUAUUGCACAAUGGGCGCAAGCCUGAUGCAGCAACGCCGCGUGAGGGAUGACGGCCUUCGGGUUGUAAACCUCUUUCAGCACCGACGAAGCGCAAGUGACGGUAGGUGCAGAAGAAGGACCGGCCAACUACGUGCCAGCCGCCGCCGUAA
rnacentral:rRNA from 1 species